rnacentral:lncRNA from 1 species
UAAAUUUUUUUGGAUUGACCUAUUUCAAUAACUUGAGAACGGUGUUUUCUUCUCUUUUACGCUCUCUUCCUUUGAAGAGAAAAAACUGUUCACGACAAUAUGAGAGGAUGAAUUUGCAAGAUGGGGUUUGUUCUUUUGCGUUGAUUUAUGCUGAUUAGCAAAGAAAAGAAUCAGUUGAUUUGCAUAAUAUCACUGUUGAACCCAUCUCGCUAAUUUGAGAGGAUAUGCGCUGAUUUAGUAUAAAAUGACUCAUGUGCCCCUGUACGAAAAAUUAAAUUCCAAGGAAAGGACUGUGUUGAUGAUGACGGGAGGAGGAAGACUGUCGCGUGCAUGGGAGGACCAAGAACGGAGUUGAUGCACGGGAGGAGGAAGACAGUCGUGCACGAUGUUCAUGAUGAUGACGGAGUGGAGGCACAUGAGGAAGAAUGAAGAGGUGAAGAAGCACGUUAUCCGGUUCAAAUAAGAGGGUAUCCGAUUCCACCACAGUGAAAGACUUACAAAGGAGACGUAUCCGGAUACAAGAUUUGCGUAUCCGGAUCCAGCUUCUCAAAUAUUUUCAAUUGCAAACGUAUCCGGAUCCAGACUUGGCUUAUCCGGAUCCACCUUAUCAAAUAUUUUCAAUUACAAACCAAUAUUACAUUUAAAAAUAAUGUUUUU